CACGUAGUUAGCCGGUGCUUCUUAUUCCGGUACCGUCAUCCACAUCGGGUAUUAACCGAUGCGAUUUCUUCCCGGCCGAAAGAGCUUUACAACCCGAAGGCCUUCUUCACUCACGCGGCAUGGCUGGAUCAGGCUUGCGCCCAUUGUCCAAAAUUCCCCA
rnacentral:rRNA from 1 species